rnacentral:rRNA from 1 species
GACGUAGGAUGCAAGCGUUGUCCGGAAUCAUUGGGCGUAAAGAGUUCGUAGGUGGUUUGCCAAGUCUGACGUUAAAGCCCGAAGCUCAACUUCGGUUCGGCAUCGGAAACUGGCAGGCUAGAGUCUGGUAGAGGCAAGGGGAAUUCCCGGUGUAGCGGUGAAAUGCGUAGAUAUCAGGAGGAACACCAAUGGCGAAGGCAGCUCGCUGGGACGUGACUGACGCUGAGACGCGAAAGCGUGGGGAGCAAACAGG